UACGGGGGGGGCAAGCGUUGUUCGGAAUUACUGGGCGUAAAGGGCUCGUAGGCGGCCAACUAAGUCAGACGUGAAAUCCCUCGGCUUAACCGGGGAACUGCGUCUGAUACUGGAUGGCUAGAGGGUGGGAGAGGUAAGCGGAAUUCCUGGUGUAGCGGUGAAAUGCGUAGAUAUCAGGAGGAACACCUGUGGUGUAGACAGCUUACUGGACCACUUCUGACGCUGAGACACGAAAGCGUGGGUAGCAAACAGG
rnacentral:rRNA from 1 species